rnacentral:rRNA from 1 species
GAGUGAUGAAGGUCUUCGGAUCGUAAACUCUGUUGUUAGGGAAGAAUAAGUAUCGACCGAAUAAGUCGGUACCUUGACGGUACCUAACCAGAAAGCCCCGGCUAACUACGUGCCAGCAGCCGCGGUAAUACGUAGGGGGCAAGCGUUGUCCGGAAUUAUUGGGCGUAAAGGGCGCGCAGGCGGUCUUUUAAGUCUGAUGUGAAAUCUCGUAGCUUAACUACGAGCGGUCAUUGGAAACUGGAAGACUUGAGGACAGAAGAGGAGAGUGGAAUUCCACGUGUAGCGGUGAAAUGCGUAGAGAUGUGGAGGAACACCAGUGGCGAAGGCGACUCUCUGGUCUGUAACUGACGCUGAGGCGCGAAAGCGUGGGGAGCGAACAGGAUUAGAUACCCUGGUAGUCCACGCCGUAAACGAUGAGUGCUAGGUGUUAGGGGGUUUCCGCCCCUUAGUGCUGCAGUUAACGCAUUAAGCACUCCGCCUGGGGAGUACGGCCGCAAGGCUGAAACUCAAAAGAAUUGACGGGGGCCCGCACAAGCGGUGGAGCAUGUGGUUUAAUUCGAAGCAACGCGAAGAACCUUACCAGGUCUUGACAUCCCUUUGAUCGUCCUAGAGAUAGGGCUUUCCCUUCGGGGACAAAGGUGACAGGUGGUGCAUGGUUGUCGUCAGCUCGUGUCGUGAGAUGUUGGGUUAAGUCCCGUAACGAGCGCAACCCUUA